rnacentral:rRNA from 1 species
UACGGGGGGUGCGAGCGUUGUCCGGAAUCACUGGGCGUAAAGAGCUCGUAGGCGGCCUGUCGCGUCGGCUGUGAAAACCCGGGGCUCAACCCCGGGCCUGCAGUCGAUACGGGCAGGCUAGAGUCCGGCAGGGGAGACUGGAAUUCCUGGUGUAGCGGUGAAAUGCGCAGAUAUCAGGAGGAACACCGGUGGCGAAGGCGGGUCUCUGGGCCGGAACUGACGCUGAGGAGCGAAAGCGUGGGGAGCGAACAGG